rnacentral:rRNA from 1 species
UACGUAGGGUGCAAGCGUUGUCCGGAAUUAUUGGGCGUAAAGAGCUCGUAGGCGGUUUGUCGCGUCGGAUGUGAAAACCCGCGGCUCAACCGCGGGCCUGCAGCCGAUACGGGCAGGCUAGAGUUCGGUAGGGGAGACUGGAAUUCCUGGUGUAGCGGUGAAAUGCGCAGAUAUCAGGAGGAACACCGGUGGCGAAGGCGGGUCUCUGGGCCGAUACUGACGCUGAGGAGCGAAAGCGUGGGGAGCGAACAGG